GAUGAACGUUGGCGGUAUGCCUAAUACAUGCAAGUCGAACGGAGGCAGUAGCAAUAUUGUCUUAGUGGCGAACGGGUGAGUAACGCGUUGGUGAUCGGCCCGGAAGUUUGGAUUAACGUUCCGAAAGGUUCGCUAAUCCCGCAUAGUCCUUUCUUUUUUGGAACCGGAAGGGUAAAGGAUUAAUUCGCUUCAGGAGGAGCCUGCGUCCAAUCAGCUAGUUGGUAGGUUAACAGCCUACCAAGGCUAUGACGGGUAGGGGACCUGAGAGGGUGGCCCCCCACAAUGGAACUGAAACACGGUCCAUACACCUACGGGUGGCAGCAGUAGGGAAUAUUAGUAAUGGGCGAAAGCCUGAACUAGCAAUACCGCGUGUGCGAAGAAGGCCUUCGGGUUGUAAGGCACUUUUUGGGAGGACGAGGAAGGACGGUACUCCCAGAAUAAGUCCCGGCUAACUACGUGCCAGCAGCCGCGGUAAAAC
rnacentral:rRNA from 1 species